rnacentral:rRNA from 1 species
GACGAACGCUGGCGGCGUGCCUAAUACAUGCAAGUCGAACGCAGUGGGGACGGGUGAGUAACACGUGGGUAACCUCCCAUCAGAGGGGAUAACACUUGGAAACAGGUGCUAAACCGAUACUGAUGGAUGGACCCGCGGUGCAUUAGCUAGUUGGUGGGGUAACGGCUCACCAAGGCCACGAUGAAUAGCCGACCAGGGGGGGUGAUCGGCCACACUGGGGCUGAGACACGGCCCAGACUCCUACGGGAGGCAGCAGAAGGGAAUCUUCGGCAAUGGACGAAAGUCUGACCGGGCAACGCCGCAUGAGUGAAGAAGGUUUUCGGAUCGUAAGACUCUGUUGUUAGGGAGGCGGUAUCUAGCCAGAAAGCCACGGCUAACUACGUGCCAGCAGCCGCGGUAAUAC